rnacentral:lncRNA from 1 species
GUCACCAUCUGGCAUUUGCUUGUCUUCUCUACUACAUUCCCACCAGGUCGAAAGCUCUCUGAAGAUGAGGAUCACGUGUGAAGCUAUUUUGUAUCCUUCUGCAGCACCUAAUUCAACAAACACUGUGCUCAAGAUAGGGAGCGGAGUCUCAUUUAUCCCAGGAUGUCUUUGUACUCUCCAAAGUGAUCCUGAACUCAAUGCUGGUGCUGUACCUCCCAAGUGCUGAGGUCACAGGCUUGUGCCACCAAGUCCUGCAGUAGUUCUUAGUAAGAAAA